AAAAUGAAUGAGCUAAAUUUCCAGGCACCGUAACUGUCCAGACAUUUUCCCUGACAGCAAAAUCCCUCUCUUAGCUCUGCAGACAAUGUACAGCAUACAAGACGGUCCUCCAUUGCUUUUACAAACUAGGUCAUGAUGUUUGGAAUAUGUUUGGAAAGAGUGAAGUAUACUGUGAGGCACUGAUACCACUGAGAGUGCUCAGAUUUAUAACUGGGAGAUGACGAAACCACAUGUAAACACCAGUCUGCUUGCCGUCAGCUCCUCUGAACUCAAGGUUCACCCUUCACAUGGUGAAGUAUCAAUAUCUCAUCUGUAAUAAGAAGCUCCUGACACGGGUUCAGCUCUGCGUGCCGUUCAACAAUGGGAGAGCUCAAGCACAGGCUGCCUAUUUGUCACCUGGCUACCCUUGCACACUGCUAUACCUCUUGAUAUAGAUGAAACAGAGCUGCUGUUUGUUCCCUCUCAAAGAAGGAAAUGUUCUUUUAAAUCAGUAAAUGAUCCUUGGCACAGUUAAAGGAAAAAGUUUGCAAAGAAAAUGAGUCGUCUCCACGACCUGAAAAGAGCCACAUUCCUCUGCAUCAUCUCCUCUCAUUGCCUAGAAUGGCACCGUGUGUAUGUGAAAGAGACCUGAGUGAAGGGCGGGGCCCUAGUGAACCCACCCAUCACCUUUCUAACAUUUAUAGAUUUAUUUUCUAGAUAAUUUAGAGUCUGAACUAUGUCACAGAUAUUCUCAGCCAUGUGUCCAAAUCCAUUCGCUUAUGGUUCAAAUAUGCAUCACUGAGAUUUUUGCAUGCUGAUAUGUUUUUUUAAGGGUUAAAAUGAUUCAUUUCCCAUCACUUAUUUAUCAUUUCCCAUCAUAUUUCUAGAUGUAGCACAAGACUUCUUGGUUCUGCUGAAUUCAAUGGAACUGUAGAUUUACAUCACAUAUGCCUCUGGCUCAUUUCUUUACAAGAACAGCCUUCUUUGAAUUGUAUAAUUGGUAAAAGUUCAGACAACUGAACUUUUUGGAGCUCAUAACAACUCUUGACUGAUACCCACAUUUCAUGGAAUCAGAAGCAAUGUUUUGGUCUAGUGUUCUUAUUUCUUCUACAUGUUGUAAGGCUAAGACAUGGGGUAAAUUACAAUGCUCCUAUUUAUUGCAGUGAUACUAUUGACCCCAUGCUAUUAUGUGGUGCUGUCCAAGUGUGACUUGGCCUCCUGCUAAAGAGAGACACUGUUCCCAGCACUCCACAUGCGCCUGCCUGGGGUUCCAAUGUAGCAGUUUCCUCUGUAUCCCAUGAUCUGAAUGACGUAUCCCUGCACCUCAUUCUACAAAAUCCAAGCCUGAAUAUUUUUGCCUACAAAUUCCCUGCUCCCAAGUCUAAGAAACCAUCCAAGAUUUGUGUUUGCAUGAACUUCUAAGGACCAAAGAGAGCUUGGAAUGAGGAGAUGCAACUUUCAUAUUAUUAUCAAAAACAUUCAAAAUCUGAAGGCACAAGAAUGGUAAAGUGAAACCUGCUCCCAUUUGUGGCUGACAACCUGGCCUCACCUUGACAAUGUUCGAAGGCCAUUUCUUCACAAAAUUAAAGAAAUCUUAAAAGUUGUGAGUUGUAUUUUUCCGAGACAGACUGACUGAAGAGAAAAAGGGUCAAAUUGACCCCUGGUGAGACUCUGUGGAUCUCAAGGAAAUGAAUGUAAAGAAGUAUCCUAAGGGUGAAUUAUGCUAAAAUUGCAAAGGAAAUGCUGCUUUAAUGAGAAAAAAGUUCAAAGAUGGAGAAAUAUAUCAGUGAAUUCAUAGCAGAUUUUCUAGAGUCAGACCAAGUUACAACAAUCAAAAAAUAUAACUGAAUUGAGACAGAAAAAGUAAAAUAAAGGAGGGACCAGAACUACA
rnacentral:lncRNA from 1 species